UCCCAGGUGGCUCAGUUGGUAAAGAAUCUGCCUGCAAUGCAGAAGACCCGGGUUCGAUCCCUGGGUAGGGAA
rnacentral:tRNA from 1 species